CCAAUCCAUCGGUACCGUUAAUCCUAUGCAGACUUUUUAGUGCUCGGAAUCAUUCAUAGCUUAAACCGCUUCCCACAGUAAAAAAACAGGCCACCGACGACGACGUUAAACGGAUCAGCAGCGCAUCCGUGUCUAGAGCAAGCUUGCCGCCCGUGGAUGUAUUUUUUUCUGAGGGAGACUGACGGACUGCGGACACGCUAGCUUCUGUUAUCGAUGUGUUGUGGUUUCUGAUUCAGACUUCGUCUUGUUGCAGUGACCCAAGACUCAGAAAAAAGGGAAAACGGUUUAUCGACAUCCUCUGGACUGUAAUAUUUUCGAUGCUACUAUUUCACGAGCCGCUUUGGAAAUACCGUGCUGCCUUUUCGACACUCGAGGUCAUUCUUUGUGGCCAAUGUACUGACCCUUGGCUCUGAAACGUCCCUAUGGAUGAGUUGCUGAUUGACCUGUGCUGACCCUAUCAGGAAAGCCCUGGAGAAAAUGGAUUUAUCCCACUCUCCAUCUCCCUUCUCCUUUUCCAAUUGCAUGCCAAUGCCAGUGUUUUCCCCCAGGCAGAGACUACACAGCAUGUCCAUUCAAUCUGCGGGAUUAGCAAAGAAACAAUAUGUCACAACCUGUGGCUAGACACCAUGUGCUCGAGAAAAUCUGUAUUAGGCUGGGACGCUUGCAUUUGGGACACUUUCUUCCAUCCCAAUGGUCUGCAGUCAGAUUCUGCUCCCUCUAAAAACUGGUCUUCGUUGUAGCUAUUUCUACCGAUUAGGACUGCACCCAGCACACUGUGGGAUUGUCAUCUCUGUCGGGCACAGGGACUGCUGGGUACAGAUGUGGCCCCAGACAGACAAAGACACUUGCUGUUUCCUUAAUAAGUGACUCCUUCUGACCUCUGGAAAGGGGCGGACUCGUGCCCCAUGGCAUGGGUCAAGCUGUUCAGGAAGCCAGGGACCAGCAGUGUUGGCACAGGGGGACCUGGUGGGACAGGACUGGGGAAGUCUUAUCAGCCAGGCAGCAUGCUCUCGCUGGCCCUCACCAAAGGCCUCCUCAACGAGCCAGGCCAGAACAGCUGCUUCCUAAACAGUGCCGUGCAGGUUUUGUGGCAGCUGGACAUCUUCAGGAGGAGUCUGAGGCAGCUGUCUGCCCACUUCUGUCUGGGCGACGCCUGCAUCUUCUGUGCUUUAAAGAGUAUCUUCAGUCAGUUCCAGCAGAGUCGAGAGCGGGCAUUGCCUUCGGACACCCUGCGGCAUGCGCUGGCCGAGACCUUUAAGGAUGAACAGCGUUUCCAGCUGGGCCUCAUGGAUGACGCUGCCGAAUGCUUUGAGAACAUCCUGGAGAGGAUCCACCUGCACUUGGUGUCCGACUCGGCAGCUGAAAUCUGCACCUCAAAGUCCUGCAUCACACAUCAGAAGUUUGCCAUGACUCUCUAUGAACAGUUUGUGUGCCGGAGUUGCGGAGCAUCAUCAGACCCUCUCCCCUUCACAGAGCUCGUGCACUACGUCUCCACCACGGCCCUCUGCCAACAGGUGGAGCGUGUGCUGGAGAGGACAGACAGGCUGAGGUCUGAUAUGUUUGGGGAACUGCUGCAGGCAGCAAACACCAUCGGAGACCUCCGCAACUGCCCUAGCAACUGUGGGCAGAGUAUUAAGAUCCGCCGUGUUCUGAUGAACUGCCCUGAGAUCGUCACCAUCGGUUUUGUGUGGGACGCAGAACAGUCUGACCUGACCGAAGACGUCAUCCGCUCACUCGGGCCACACCUUAAUCUUUCAGGGCUCUUCUACCGAGUCACUGAUGAAAAUGCCAAAAAAAGAGAUCUUCACCUGGUGGGCAUGAUCUGCUACUCUAGCCGCCAUUACCUAGCCUUCGCCUAUCACAGCAAGUCUUCCAAAUGGGUCUUUUUCGAUGAUGCCACAGUAAAAGAGAUUGGUUCCAAAUGGAAAGACGUAGCAUCCAAAUGUAUCCGGGGUCAUUUCCAGCCACUGCUUCUGUUCUAUGCCAACCCGGAUGGUACCGCUGUAUCCAAUGAGGAUGCCCCCCGACAAACCACCAUGUGGUCCCAAUACAAGUCUCCCCUCAAUGGGGAGGGCACAGUAGCCGACGUUCCGCUCUCAGGGUCAAAGAAACUUGACGGAGUGAGAGAGCCUGCUGGCUCACUGCGGACCAAUCAGGGAUCUCAUAAACAACCACUGCAAUCAGCCAAUCGGCUUAAAGUGCUUCCGGAAAGCCCAGGCAGACUGCGAGAGUCUUCCAGAGAGUCUUCACAGGGAGGAGGAGAGAGACCGAGGAGGGAGAGUGAACGAGGUCAUCGCAGACCAGACUCCUUCCAACACAAAGAUAUGUCAUAUCCCAGAUCAUCCUCUCCCACUGAGAAUGGCCUGCGCUCUCACUCGGACCAGAGGUACCGCACAGCUCCCUCUCGUCCGUCUCGCCCAGAUCGCUCCUCGCUCCACCCGCGUGGGUCACCCCAGGAGUCCCGUACCCUCCCAGAUGCUUCAUGCCGCCGACAUGAUUCUUCAUCUUCUAGCCAAUACGAGACAGCUGAUGUCUCAGACCGUGCAAGGUCCAAGCCGUCAUGGCGUCCCGUGCGGGAAGUCCUGAACGUGGACAGGGUGCUGAAUGAGCUAGAGCGGCGACAGCAACAACAACAACAGCAGCAACAGCAUGGAAGCCCACGCUGCAACCGCAGCCGGCACCUCGGACAGGAGAGGGCACUGCCAGAGCGCAAACAGAAAGGCCUGAUGACGAUCUAUGAGGAUGAGUCACGGCUAGAGACGGAGAGCCGCAGUUCUCAGGAGUCUCAGCGUAGGGCCACACCCAGCAGCUCCACACCACGGCCCAAAGGUGGGGCCAAUGCAGGGCUGAGGGGUGACAAUUGGACGAUCCAGAGGACGGAGUCAGGCUACGAGAGCAGCGAUAGGCUAAGCAGCGGAUCCACCAAUCCUGACUCGCCAGGCGUGGAGAACUUUGCAGGCAAGGAGCUCCGAGUGACUCCAGAGGCUCAGCAGCUCAGGGGUCAAGUUCAUCACACUCGCAACGACUCAAAAACCGAGGCAGUGCGCUCUCCAUUGUGCCACAGUAAACAUUUGUUAAAGGUCCAGGGAAGAAACUCUGACCAUCUUAUAAAGGGCAGCCCAAGUUCAAGGCGGAAGCAGAGAUACUCCUCCUGUGGCUCACGUAAAGGAAGCGGCUUGGAGCGGGACCCCGCUGCUCUGGAGCAGCAGGAGGUGCCAUUUCGGGCUCCCGAGAGUCCGGCGGUUCGGCGAGUGGCCAGGCUGAGUAGCUCAGAGUGCAACAGCUCGGAUGAGACGACCAAUCCUCCAUCUGAGCAGGAGGACAGCGCCUACCGCUCCAGCACUAGCGAGACGGCCCUGCCUGAAUCCCCCCGCCCGGGACGUCCUGCUCGAGAUGAGUCGCCUUUGGCUGCCCGCCCCAAACAAGGCAGGACGCCACCCUUCCGCCCACGCCUCCUGCAGGAGCCCUCACAGACAAGCCCGCGACCAGCCAACCACCGGCGUUUAGACCCCUGGCAGGUCUCAUCCGAUGUUAGCUCUAAGUCUGGCUCAGACCAGGAGAGGGGAGACGCAGGGCAAAGCGAGCUGCUGGAUGACAGGCCUCGAGGCUCAGACCGAGCCUGUGCCUCCGCUUCCAGUUCUGCCCCUCAGGGACCUGGAGUGGCACUCACUACAUACUUCAACGUGGACAACUGCAUGACGGACACAUACAGACUGAAGUACCACCACCAGAGGCCGCUAGUGCUGGUUGUGCCUGAGCAAAGGGGCGGGGGCAGGGGGGCGGAUCACCGAGAGACCAGUCAUUCUGCCCACACAGAUGGCUUGCCUGCCUCGGAGCACGGCAAGAACAGGCCCGAGCCAGGUUCACUGCUGAUAUCACCCACAGCAACACCAAAGAAAUUACCAAAAUUGAUUAUAAAUGUAGACAAAAGGAAUGUCUUAUCACCAGCUUAACUUAACUAACUAAUGAUUGUAGCUAGCUUGCUUAGCUAGCUGCCUAGCUUGUUAGCUGUUAUUUCUAACAUGGUAGUUGAGCCAAUGCCAAUUAAGUCAGUGUUUGCUUGAGGUUCUUGGCUGUUAAUUGAAAGUCAUGAAAUAUAAAAAGAGGAGGUGUUCCCAAGAGUUGUUGGAGUUGCUCUUUAAAAUUUUGUUAUUAGCUUCCUGACACCAAAUUAUAUAUUUUUAGACAGAAAAACACAUACAGUAUUAAAAAAAAAAAAAGCAGCUGCACAUUGUUCUAUGGUUCUCACCAUUUUCCAGAACUUAGCUAUGGUAUGUCAUGUAUAUGUGCUCAAAUGUGCUUGAGUGCUUGAGUCCUGUGCUCAAGUCAGAGACCACCUUUGAUUUCUUAAAUUUCCAGUCAAAAUGACUAUUAAGUACAAGUUAUUCCUCUUUCAGGAAUAACAUCUCUGCAGGGAUAUUUGUCCACAAGUGUUCAAGAUGGUGCUAAAAUGCAUUUGUUGAUAUGCUUUUUUUGUGAAGUUGGUGUGACCUUUCUCACAGUUAGUAUAGGAUAUAUGUUAGCACGCUUCAGCAACUCAUUGACGAACUCAGAAGAUUUAUCAGUAGAUUUAUCAGUAAUCUCUUGUUCGUUUUGGCCAGUAAUGGAUCAGGGGUCAUGCUUUAUUUUUAAGAAUUUUCUCCUGAAGCGCUCUGGUUCUCCAGAGUAUGUGGUAUAUGCAUGUCUGUUAACCAUGUAAUUUAUUUUUGAUUCUUUCUCCACCUUCUCAGGCUCUAGCAGCAAUAAGUCUACUGCAAAGUGGCACCCAGUAACUCCAAAGGGACUUGACGAGCAUGGGUAUUUGUAAAGGUCCUUGGUAUACUGUUGGAAAAUAUGCAGUUUGAAGCUGAGGCCAAAGAAUAAUGGAAAAGAAUGGAUUGUUAUAUAAUUGAUGCCAAAAGAAAAGACUUAUUUUGCAAACGCACAUUGAUUUGGUGGUUUGGCCCAAGUGCAGGUGCGUUUUCUUCAACAGGCACUUAUAGGAGGGCAGUAUGCACUUUGGCUCAUUCAGUGAUCACAUGCAAACCAUGGCUGGCCAUUUCUAUGCUUUAAUUGAAUUUCAACAGGUAAAAUUUGGAAGAAAAGAAAGAAUCAAAGCUCAUUUGCAUUGACAAAGCCAGAAUGGUGAUUGCUUUUCUUUGGCGAUAAUUUUAUCGCAGAAUGGAACUUUGUACGUCUAUAUAGGUUGUUUAUGGAGUGCCUUCUCGCCAGUUGUCAUGCAGAAUAUUGGCAUGACAAUUCAUACAAUACGUAUAUUGUACAAUGAUGUCCUCUGUCUAUUUUUGAAGAUGUCUAUGCAUUUAUUUUUAUUCUUUGUUUAAUAAAUUUUAUUUGAAUGCUCAUGUA